rnacentral:rRNA from 1 species
AAUACGUUCCCGGGCCUUGUACACACCGCCCGUCACACCACGAAAGUAGGCAACACCCGAAGCCGGUGGCCCAACCCCUUGGGGAGGGAGCCGUCGAAGGUGGGGUUUGCGAUUGGGGUG